GCCAGGAUAGCUCAGUGGUUAGAGCAAUGCUUUCAUAAGGCAGAGGUCGUGAGUUCAACUCUCACUCCUGGCACAA
rnacentral:tRNA from 1 species